CAUUUACUCAUUCAUUACUUUUUACACUUCUUCCUCUUCACCAUUUUUCCACGAUUCCACCCUUUCUCUGCUUAAGAUCAAUUCAAAUAGCAUUUUCAUACAUUUACAUCGUCCAUGGAUACAUUUGGAAAUCUCAAGGUUGGCAUGUUUUCAUGUUGGGGAGCUAGUCAUGAUAUUCAUGGAUUAAACAUUAUGUUUGCUAAUGACAAUAUUAGCACUCAUGACGUUUUUUUAAGCUUUAAUAUGGAAUAUACAACUUGUUGUCCUCAAUCACCUUCUCGGUUGAAAAGCUUUGAAAAUGAUCGCUUGCAGUGUGGGCAAAUCAGAUCCGGCGGAGACAAGCUGGUAGUCGUAGCUGGCUGACUCUGGAUAGGAUCUGUGUAGGGUUUCAGGUAUCCAAAGAAGGUGUGGGCGGGUAGCGGGGAGGAGGAGGAGGAAUGGGAGUCCGUGCCACUGGUGGAGGAGCGUGAGACUCAUAGUCGCGGCGGUUAGACCACUUAUCGUAAAGUUUCCAUGCGUUGGCCACCGUCUUAAAAAGGGCUACGAACUUUCUCUCCCCACCUGGGAGACGAUCCCAUUGAUUGACGGAUUGUUGGGAAAAAUUUUUUUGAUAGGUUCUUGGAAAAUGUUGUUACUGCAAAAGAAUAUGUAAAGGUUGAUUAUUUCCGUACAAAAGUGUGACUUGUGUGUGGGGGAAAUUGGGACCACGCGCCCUCACACUCACAGUUACACUCACACUCACAUUUAAACAAUUAGUUAGUCUUUUGUCUGGUUGACAGGACCAAAACGCUGCCAAAGCUCGGCGUUUUGGUCCGGUAAACAAACCCGUCAGAUACUCGUUAAUAUUUUUCUGGUUGAACAGACCAAAUCGCCGCACUUUAGCAACAGGUCGACACUGCGGUGUAUGUAAAUAGACAUUAAGAGUGUGUGAAUAGACAUACCCUUAUUUUGUCUUAUUAUUCAUAUAUAUAUUUAUAUACUAUUAAUCAAUUUUUAA